CAGAAUGACCUUUCUCUCGCCUGUGAUUUUUUCCGCAGGGUUUGGCAUCCUGUGUUGAAAAGUACAGGUUGGAUCUGACGGGUGGAGCCUUUCCCUUGAGAGGGCAGGGCAGCAAGGCCAAACUACUCAGCUGUCAGGCUGUAGAAAUCUUUCCCAACUGCAUUGACAGAGAAGGCAGCGUUGAUGAAGUCAUAUCUCCUGACAUCAGUGUCUCCGUCUUCAGCUGGCAAGUGAACACACGCAGCCAGGGAAAACCAUCUACUUAUUUGGGUGUAUUUGACUUUGACUGCUGGUAUGAGGCUCAAAAGCCAGGCUCACUAAGGCCAGAAGAAUCCCUUCAGGACUGCCCCUAUUUUGCACUGUGGUCACUGGACGCUGUGACAAGCACGACUGCUCCAAACCCCC